rnacentral:rRNA from 1 species
GAUGAACGCUGGCGGCGUGCCUAAUACAUGCAAGUCGAACGGAAAGGCCCGGAGCUUGCUACUCUAUCGUUGAAGGCGGACGGAUCAGUAGCGCGUUGUUCACCUCCCUAUAGGACAGGGCUAACUUACGGAGACCAAAACUAGUACCGGCUAAUAUAUUCAUCCGGAUGGUUCGAUAGUUAUUGACGGUUUUGCUGGCACUUCUAGCUAGAUCCGCGCUGCAUGAGCUAGUUGGUAAGGUAACGGCUUACCAAGGCCACCAUGCGUAGCCGACCUGCGAGGGUGAUCGGCGACACGAGAACGGAGACACGGUCAAGACGCCUACGGUAGGCAGCAGUAGGGAAUCGUACGCAAUGGGCGAAAGCUUUACGGAGCAACGCCGCGCGAGAGAUGAAGGUCUUCGGUGCGGAAAACCCUGUUAUGAGGUAAGAACAAAUGUGUAAGUAACCAUGCACUUCUUGACGGUAUCUAAUCAGAAAGCCACGGCUAACUACGUG